GAUGAACGCUGGCGGCGUGCCUAAUACAUGCAAGUCGAACGCUGAAGGAGGAGCUUGCUCUUCUGGAUGAGUUGCGCACGGGUGAGUAACGCGUAGGUAACCUGCCUGGUAGCGGGGGAUAACUCUUGGAAACGAUAGCUAAUACCGCAUGACAACAGUUAUUGCAUGAUAACUGUUUAAAAGGGGCAACUGCUCCACUACCAGAUGGACCUGCGGUGUCUUAGCUAGUUGGUGAGGUAACGGCUCACCAAGGCGACGAUACAUAGCCGACCUGCUAGGGGGAGUCGCCAAAAUGGGAAUGGGAAAAGGGCCAGAAUCCCAAGGGAGGGAGGAGGAGGGAAUUGUCGGCAAUGGACGGAAGGCUGAACGAGGAAAGGCGCGUGAGGGAAGAAGGUUUUCGGAUCGUAAAGACCUGUUGUAAGAGAAGAACGAGUGGGAGAGGGGAAAGUGCACGCUGUGACGGUAUCUUACCAGAAAGGGACGGCUAACUACGUG
rnacentral:rRNA from 1 species